CAGCCGCCGCGGUAAUACGAAGGGGGCUAGCGUUGUUCGGAUUUACUGGGCGUAAAGGGCGCGUAGGCGGACUGAUAAGUCAGGGGUGAAAUCCCAAGGCUCAACCUCGGAACUGCCUUUGAUACUGGCGAUCUUGAGUCCGGGAGAGGUGAGUGGAACUGCGAGUGUAGAGGUGAAAUUCGUAGAUAUUCGCAAGAACACCGGUGGCGAAGGCGGCUCACUGGCCCGGAACUGACGCUGAGGCACGAAAGCGUGGGGAGCAAACAGGAUUAGAGACCCCAGUAGUCCCUGUCUCUUAUAC
rnacentral:rRNA from 1 species